UUCCAUACAAGCCAUAGAGCCUCGGCUUCAGGGCCCCCGGUCAGCGAGGCCCCCCUCCCCCCAGACCCGUCCAGGCAGGGAUCAGCCACUGGUGCUGCCCCCACACUCUCCCACACCUGCCUGGAACAUCUCGCAGUUCAUCCAGACCUUCUCUGGCUCGCCGUCUUCCCAGAAUAUUUCAAAACGUCCUCCAGGGCCGCAUCACCCCAGAGAGAGACUGUGGUGGACGCUCGUUCAACACGAGAUGCGUGAACCCGAGACCGUAGCCCCGGAACCCAGCUGAGACCACGUGCAAAGAGCCUCGAAACAUAGGUGCGGUGACCCUUAGUUGGAAGAUGAGCAAGUCAAGGUCCCAGAGACAUUAGCUGAUUGAUGGAAGGACAACCGUCUUGUAAGAGAGAAAAGCCAGCACUGGAAGCAGGCCGGUCUGGAUCAUCUGAGUCCCUUGGAGAGAGCGACGACGGGUUCUCUCCUUUUCCCAGCCCCAGGGCUACCUCCCGGCCCGACGCCCACAUUCUAACUCCUUGCUCAGUGUGUCUUCAGGCGGCUCGACUUGAAGCCCCCCCCCCCCCCCAGCAGGUUUGUCUUCAUCCACAGUCCCACCAGGUCCUGCUGGGCGAUCGGUGACUAUUUGCCGGACACUUAAAUGAGCGCUCAGUAAAUGCCCACAGAUGACCACCGAGAGGUGCGCUGGGAUACAGAAGGGGAAAGGGGCUUGAAGCCAGAAGGUAAGAACCACAAACGGGACUUUCCCAUCAGCUGAAGAUAGGAAACACCCUGAAGGGGUGAUUUAAUGUUCUCCAAAAGCAUCUUUCGGUUUCACAGAGCACACUUUAAAGACACCUCGCUCUGCUUCAACUAUACUAUAUAACGAAGUCUUUUUCUGCAUUUUUAAAAAUGAAAAUCUGUUGCCCGGACUUGACUUUUCUGCAUCAUUUUCUUCUCCUAAACGCUGCCUGACAGCUGCUGAGAUUCAAACUGAGGUGGCCCCAAGGACUUGAUGAAUUGGCUCGUUCAGGAAUAUCCACUGAGCCCGCCGUGUACCAACUUCCAAGUGUUUUCAAGACACGGAGAUAAAUGGAACGGGGUGUCUGUUAUCAAUCUUCAUGCUGUGUGAGCGGGGAGAGGGUGGAACCCUUGAUGGAUGUGUAAGUCCUUGGAGGGAUCGUUCUCGGCUCGAUGGGGAAGCCGUGUGCUCAACUCUUCAGGGGAGAGGGCUCGGCAGCGACACGACUUGGCUGGAUUUUCUCUCCAGGUUGUGACUUGUACCCGUGGGAGUGAGAUCACAACACGUUUCUUAUGCAACCUCACCCUCCACCCCGGCCCCCACCCUUCACACCUACUCCCCUUUUAAUCUUUUCAACAAGUAAUUAAAGUUGGCUUGACCUCAAACAUCCUCUACACCCGAAGAAAUGCAGAGAUGAUUGAUUGUCGCUCUCAACUAUUUUGAGACGAGGAUGAUGCUUUCUUCAGCUUUGUGACCUCCGAGGCAGGUGCUAGAUGCUGACGGGGCGUAUGAUGGAACUCUAUUCGGGGAUAGAGGGGGGUCGACCAGAUCUCUCUACCGCAAAGCUGCCGUCUUUCCCUUUGAAGGAAUUAGUGUCUUCCGAGGAGAUACUUUGGGACUCUGCAAAUAGCUGCUUUCUCAUCAAACUUUCACCACUGGAUUUAGCACCCAUGGAUGAUUCUUGUC